rnacentral:rRNA from 1 species
GUUGUAUAGUCAAGUAAUUAAGUGCAUGUGGUGGAUGCCUUGGCAGUCAGAGGCGAUGAAAGACGUGAUAGCCUGCGAAAAGCUCCGGGGAGGCGGCAAAUAUCCUUUGAUCCGGAGAUGUCUGAAUGGGGGAACCCACCUACUUUAAGGUAGGUAUUGCAACAUGAAUACAUAGUGUUGCAAGGCGAACGAGGGGAAGUGAAACAUCUCAGUACCCUUAGGAAAAGAAAUCAAUUGAGAUUCCCUCAGUAGCGGCGAGCGAACGGGGAUCAGCCCAUUAAGUUAUGUGUGUUUUAGUGGAACGCUCUGGGAAGUGCGAACGUAGAGGGUGAUAUUCCCGUACACGAAAGGGCACACAUAAUGAUGACGAGUAGGGCGAGGCACGUGAAACCUUGUCUGAAUAUGGGGGGACCAUCCUCCAAGGCUAAAUACUCCUGACUGACCGAUAGUGAACCAGUACCGUGAGGGAAAGGCGAAAAGAACCCCUGUGAGGGGAGUGAAAUAGAUCCUGAAACCGCAUGCAUACAAGCAGUGGGAGCACCUUCGUGGUGUGACUGCGUACCUUUUGUAUAAUGGGUCAGCGACUUAUAUUCAGUAGCGAGGUUAACCGUAUAGGGGAGCCGUAGAGAAAUCGAGUCUUAAUAGGGCGUUUAGUUGCUGGGUAUAGACCCGAAACCAGGCGAUCUAUCCAUGAGCAGGUUGAAGGUUGGGUAACACUAACUGGAGGACCGAACCCACUGUCGUUGAAAAGCCAGGGGAUGACUUGUGGAUAGGGGUGAAAGGCUAAUCAAGCCUGGUGAUAGCUGGUUCUCCCCGAAAGCUAUUUAGGUAGCGCCUCGGACGAAUACCAUAGGGGGUAGAGCACUGUUUCGGCUAGGGGGUCAUCCCGACUUACCAAACCGAUGCAAACUCCGAAUACCUAUGAGUACUAUCCGGGAGACAGACUGCGGGUGCUAACGUCCGUAGUCAAGAGGAAAACAAUCCAGACCGCCAGCUAAGGCCCCAAAAUCAUAGUUAAGUGGGAAACGAUGUGGGAAGGCAUAGACAGCUAGGAGGUUGGCUUAGAAGCAGCCACCCUUUAAAGAAAGCGUAAUAGCUCACUAGUCGAGUCGGCCUGCGCGGAAGAUGUAACGGGGCUAAAACUAUGUGCCGAAGCUGCGGAUGUAUACUUUGUAUACGUGGUAGGGGAGCGUUCUGUAAGCCGAUGAAGGUGUGUUGAGAAGCAUGCUGGAGGUAUCAGAAGUGCGAAUGCUGACGUGAGUAACGACAAAACGGGUGAAAAACCCGUUCGCCGAAAGACCAAGGGUUCCAGUCCAACGUUAAUCGGGGCUGGGUGAGUCGACCCCUAAGGCGAGGCCGAAAGGCGUAGUCGAUGGGAAAAUGGUUAAUAUUCCAUUACUUCUGUGUAAUGCGAUGAGAGGACGGAGAAGGCUAAAUCAGCCUGGCGUUGGUUGUCCAGGUGAAAGGAUGUAGGCAUGUAUCUUAGGCAAAUCCGGGGUACUCUAUGCUGAGAUCUGAUAGCAAGCUGUACUUGUACAGCGAAGUGGUUGAUGCCAUGCUUCCAGGAAAAGUCUCUAAGCUUCAGUUACACAGGAAUCGUACCCGAAACCGACACAGGUGGUCAGGUCGAGUAGACCAAGGCGCUUGAGAGAACUCUGCUGAAGGAACUAGGCAAAAUGGUACCGUAACUUCGGGAGAAGGUACGCUGUUGUUGGUGAUGGAACUCGCUUCCUGAGCUGACGACAGCCGCAGAAACCAGGCCGCUGCAACUGUUUAUUAAAAACAUAGCACUCUGCAAACACGAAAGUGGACGUAUAGGGUGUGAUGCCUGCCCGGUGCUGGAAGGUUAAUUGAUGGGGUUAGCGUAAGCGAAGCUCUUGAUCGAAGCCCCAGUAAACGGCGGCCGUAACUAUAACGGUCCUAAGGUAGCGAAAUUCCUUGUCGGGUAAGUUCCGACCUGCACGAAUGGCAUAAUGAUGGCGGCGCUGUCUCCAGCAGAGGCUCAGUGAAAUCGAAAUCGCUGUGAAGAUGCAGUGUACCCGCGGCUAGACGGAAAGACCCCGUGAACCUUUACUGCAGCUUGACACUGAACUUUAACCUUACUUGUGUAGGAUAGGUGGGAGGCUUUGAAGCUGGAACGCUAGUUCCAGUGGAGCCGUCCUUGAAAUACCACCCUGGUAAUGUUGAGGUUCUAACUCUGUCCCGUGAUCCGGGACGAGGACCGUGUCUGGUGGGUAGUUUGACUGGGGCGGUCUCCUCCUAAAGAGUAACGGAGGAGUACGAAGGUGCGCUCAGCGUGGUCGGAAAUCACGCGUAGAGUAUAAAGGCAAAAGCGCGCUUAACUGCGAGACCCACAAGUCGAGCAGGUACGAAAGUAGGUCUUAGUGAUCCGGUGGUUCUGUAUGGAAGGGCCAUCGCUCAACGGAUAAAAGGUACUCUGGGGAUAACAGGCUGAUACCGCCCAAGAGUUCAUAUCGACGGCGGUGUUUGGCACCUCGAUGUCGGCUCAUCUCAUCCUGGGGCUGAAGCAGGUCCCAAGGGUAUGGCUGUUCGCCAUUUAAAGAGGUACGCGAGCUGGGUUUAGAACGUCGUGAGACAGUUCGGUCCCUAUCUACCGUGGGCGCUGGAAAUUUGAGAGGAUCUGCUCCUAGUACGAGAGGACCAGAGUGGACGAACCUCUGGUGUACCGGUUGUGACGCCAGUCGCAUCGCCGGGUAGCUAUGUUCGGAAGGGAUAACCGCUGAAAGCAUCUAAGCGGGAAGCCUACCUCAAGAUAAGAUUUCCCUAGGACUUUAUGUCCUCUAAAGAGCCGUUCGAGACUAGGACGUUGAUAGGUUGGAUGUGGAAGCAUAGUGAUAUGUGAAGCUGACCAAUACUAAUUGCUCGUGAGGCUUGACUAUACAACACCCAAGCAGUUG